rnacentral:rRNA from 1 species
UACCAGCACCCCGAGUGGUCGGGACGUUUUAUUGGGCCUAAAGCAUCCGUAGCCGGUUCUACAAGUCUUCCGUUAAAUCCAACUGCUUAACAGGUGGGCUGCGGAAGAUACUAUAGAGCUAGGAGGCGGGAGAGGCAAGCGGGUACUCGAUGGGGUAGGGGUAAAAUCCGUUGAUCCAUUGAAGACCACCAGUGGCGAAGGCGGCUUGCCAGAACGCGCUCGACGGUGAGGGAUGAAAGCUGGGGGGAGCAACCG